CUAGUCUCACUCACGAAAACUUUGUUGAAUUUGCCCAGUUUUACACCUAUUACAGCUCACUUCCCUCCUCUCCCCUGCAGGGCUGUGGAAGCAGCAAGAGGAGACUCUUCAGACCAACUCACCACUUUCCCUCUUUCAACUGCUGAACAAAAGUGUUAACAUCUCAAAGUUAUUUUCUUUUUUUUUGUGUGUUUGUUUUUAUUCUUUUCUUUGUUGUUGUUGUGUUUUGAUUGCUUUUUUGUUUGCUUGGAUGUUUUUUAAAUUACUGGCUACUGCAUAUCUAAAGGCCUCAUCCGUAUCAGCAGCCUUGGGGACACGGUGACAAUGCAGAUUUCCGAGCAAGAUACUCAAGGUAUAAAAGCGGCAGGAGGGCUGGCCACAGGCAGAUAUCACCUCCUCACCAUCUGACACUGCCCCUGCUUCUUCCUGGGCAGCCCCUUCCCAUCCACAACCAAGGCCAGGAAAUAAAAUCUCCUUGUGCCACAAUGUGAUCCUGAACACCUUGUGUAACAGCAGUCUGGGCAUCACCGAGGCAUUAAAGCAGAGACUUUUACACGGCUGAAGGAGAUCUGUCCCCUUCCCACCAUCCAGCAAAACCCCGAGCAGCUCUGACUGAAGGUCCACGGCCAUCAACUCCCCCCCCCGGCAGAAGGCAGCUGAGUUUGAGUGCGGAGUCUUGAGGCAAUUCUCUGUGCGCUCCUGAAUUUGUUUUGCAAUUGCCGUAUGUCUCUCCCCAUGUGCCAUUAAGAGUUCAAUUCUUUUAUUCCUCCCCCCCGCCCCUUCCCCGCCUUUUUAAAGCAUCAUGUUUAUGCAAGUGGACAGGAGGCUCUCAUAUCUGGGUCACACGUUUGCUGGAGGUCAUUGAAAGGCUACAAAAUGGAGCAUGCCUAAUUCUGCCAUUUCAGAAGUUUUCUCACAUGUACUCAAGACAAUUAUGCCUAUUAAAUGAGUUCAUUAAAUUUCAGAAAUCCUUUGAAAAUUCCGGCACGCCAAAAAAUGUGCUGAACUCCUUUAUUUCUUCUAACGCCUCCUAAAAAUGCUCAAAUCCUCGGAGGUGCUGGGGACUGGAGCUCGGCUGCCUGCGACGUGGCACAGACAGGACGUGUGUCCUGCCCCCGUCACAAGCCGAAGAAGCUAAGGACACAAAACAGAGCACCGAGGUCCACCAAGCGACCUUUAGCAGUGUCAUUGGCCCAAGCGCCACUCUGCUGGGAAUAAUUCAGAGAGGAGAGAAAUGUCACCGAUGCUCGGCGAGAGCCGUGGGGUUUGUGACAGGACGGGACGUGCGGAACACUUCGAGGACCAAGAGCUGGCUCGGAGCUGAGCUGCGAACUUCAGGGAUGCAGGAGGAAAGCAGAGGUGGGCUUUGGGUGUCCUUGUCAGCUCCUCUGCACUGCUCUCCGGCUGCUGCAAGGGACAGCCCCGUCUCUGCCCUCCCAGAGGAGCAGAGGGGACUGGAGAAGGACAUUUCCUACGCCGAGCCACACGCUGAGAACAAGGGCUGAGCUGAGCCCUGCUACACAUUAAGGCAGGGCACACCCCCUGCUCGGGGUGCGUGAGGUCUCAGGAGGAGGAGGAGGUGAGGAAGAAAGAGCCAGAAGCACAGCUCCAAGCUGCUUCCUAGGUUCAAAGCUUUUGUGACAAGAAUUACCCUGGUGUGAGGCUGACCUGGAGAUCAAUACGGGCUACGUUUCUCCUUCUCCGGCCCUCAGCCACUGUCAUGUAGGACUGGGUUCAAGAAAGCUAUGUAGGAGGAAGAUGCCCUGCUGUUCCCUCAAAGCCCUGUGGAGAGAAGGGGCACCUCAGUCCUGCUCUUAGGCAGUCUAACACAGGCAGACGAGCCUCCCUCUGUGAGCACCUGCCUCCGUUCCUAGGCAGGAGAAGCCACCGAGCAUCACCAGCAUUUCUCCCUGCCACCCCCCAGCCCACUGAGGGUCGGCCUGACAGAGAACAGAGCAGCUGGGGAACAGGAGAAGCCCUCAGUGACCCUCUCUUGGCUUUUUGCAGGGCUUUACUCCCUACGGACCACAAGCCCCAAGGUCUACUAGUGGGGCACAGGAGGACCCAGUUCAGAGGGAAGCAGCUAUGCCCAGAAGGAAACAUCCCAGUUCUCAAAAGGAGCUGAGCAUCAGCCACUGCCUCUUCGUGAGCAGGAGCCAAGGGUGCCCGCUCAUCACCAUUACAAGUCCCUAACCCGCAGGUGCCUCACACCCACCACAUCCGAAUACCUUCUGGUAAGCAGGACCCUAACACACCCAAACAAAAGUUAAUUUACUGUUGCAAUGCUACCGCCACGCAGAGGUCACGUCAUGGGAUUGGUUUGGCAGCAAGAAGUUCUGCAAACCCACAAAACAAAUACUCGGCAAUAUCGCAGAGGGUAGCACGCCUCUGCGCAGCGCUGUCACUCCUGGAGAAGCCCGUACUUCCACCGCAGCAAUUUGGAAAUUAAAAUGUACACAAGAUGA